rnacentral:lncRNA from 1 species
GCGUCCAAGCUGUUAGGGUCGCUCCCUACGGCGCAUGCGCUGUGGCUCACCCACGCCGUAGGUCUUGCUAUGGGUUUAUUAAGAAAACGCAAACGCGCGUGAGGCGUGGGGCGUGGGGCGUGGAGGACAACUAACUAGGCUGACCUGUAAAAGCAGAGGAAAUUGGAACCUGGAAAGUUCUGAAGAAGGACUGCUUAGUGUGCCUCUUUAGUCAACAUGAAAAAGAAGAAAAGAACAAGCAACUGAAGGAUCCUCUGAUGGCCUCAAGGCAGUGGAUUGAGAAUAUCUCUUAAGUACAAGGAGGUAUUCUAGGAUACUGAAGCCUGGGAAUUGAAUUCACUGUUACCCACACGCUGGCCUUGACAGGGAAAGACCCUGGAUUAUCUUCAGAAUCAAGCCUUCAUUACUGAGAUAAAGUGAAAGAGACUUU